rnacentral:rRNA from 1 species
GGAUGAACGCUAGCUACAGGCUUAACACAUGCAAGUCGAGGGGCAGCAUGGUCUUAGCUUGCUAAGGCCGAUGGCGACCGGCGCACGGGUGAGUAACACGUAUCCAACCUGCCGUCUACUCUUGGACAGCCUUCUGAAAGGAAGAUUAAUACAAGAUGGCAUCAUGAGUCCGCAUGUUCACAUGAUUAAAGGUAUUCCGGUAGACGAUGGGGAUGCGUUCCAUUAGAUAGUAGGCGGGGUAACGGCCCACCUAGUCUUCGAUGGAUAGGGGUUCUGAGAGGAAGGUCCCCCACAUUGGAACUGAGACACGGUCCAAACUCCUACGGGAGGCAGCAGUGAGGAAUAUUGGUCAAUGGGCGAGAGCCUGAACCAGCCAAGUAGCGUGAAGGAUGACUGCCCUAUGGGUUGUAAACUUCUUUUAUAAAGGAAUAAAGUCGGGUAUGGAUACCCGUUUGCAUGUACUUUAUGAAUAAGGAUCGGCUAACUCCGUGCCAGCAGCCGCGGUAAUACGGAGGAUCCGAGCGUUAUCCGGAUUUAUUGGGUUUAAAGGGAGCGUAGAUGGAUGUUUAAGUCAGUUGUGAAAGUUUGCGGCUCAACCGUAAAAUUGCAGUUGAUACUGGAUAUCUUGAGUGCAGUUGAGGCAGGCGGAAUUCGUGGUGUAGCGGUGAAAUGCUUAGAUAUCACGAAGAACUCCGAUUGCGAAGGCAGCCUGCUAAGCUGCAACUGACAUUGAGGCUCGAAAGUGUGGGUAUCAAACAGGAUUAGAUACCCUGGUAGUCCACACGGUAAACGAUGAAUACUCGCUGUUUGCGAUAUACUGCAAGCGGCCAAGCGAAAGCGUUAAGUAUUCCACCUGGGGAGUACGCCGGCAACGGUGAAACUCAAAGGAAUUGACGGGGGCCCGCACAAGCGGAGGAACAUGUGGUUUAAUUCGAUGAUACGCGAGGAACCUUACCCGGGCUUAAAUUGCAGAUGAAUUACGGUGAAAGCCGUAAGCCGCAAGGCAUCUGUGAAGGUGCUGCAUGGUUGUCGUCAGCUCGUGCCGUGAGGUGUCGGCUUAAGUGCCAUAACGAGCGCAACCCUUGUUGUCAGUUACUAACAGGUUCCGCUGAGGACUCUGACAAGACUGCCAUCGUAAGAUGUGAGGAAGGUGGGGAUGACGUCAAAUCAGCACGGCCCUUACGUCCGGGGCUACACACGUGUUACAAUGGGGGGUACAGAGGGCCGCUACCACGCGAGUGGAUGCCAAUCCCCAAAACCUCUCUCAGUUCGGACUGGAGUCUGCAACCCGACUCCACGAAGCUGGAUUCGCUAGUAAUCGCGCAUCAGCCACGGCGCGGUGAAUACGUUCCCGGGCCUUGUACACACCGCCCGUCAAGCCAUGGGAGCCGGGGGUACCUGAAGUGCGUAACCGCGAGGAGCGCCCUAGGGUAAAACU